UACGUAGGGGGCAAGCGUUGUCCGGAUUUAUUGGGCGUAAAGAGCUCGUAGGUGGUUCGGUAAGUCGGAUGUGAAAUCUCCAGGCUCAACCUGGAGGGGUCAUUCGAUACUGCCGUGACUAGAGGUCGGUAGGGGAGUGUGGAAUUCCCGGUGUAGCGGUGAAAUGCGCAGAUAUCGGGAGGAACACCAAUUGCGAAGGCAGCUCGCUGGGACGUUACUGACGCUGAGACGCGAAAGCGUGGGGAGCAAACAGGG
rnacentral:rRNA from 1 species